GUAGGGAAUCUUCCACAAUGGACGAAAGUCUGAUGGAGCAACGCCGCGUGAGUGAAGAAGGGUUUCGGCUCGUAAAACUCUGUUGUUAAAGAAGAACAUAUCUGAGAGUAACUGUUCAGGUAUUGACGGUAUUUAACCAGAAAGCCACGGCUAACUACGUGC
rnacentral:rRNA from 1 species